rnacentral:rRNA from 1 species
UACGUAGGUGGCAAGCGUUGUCCGGAUUUAUUGGGUUUAAAGGGUGCGUAGGCGGUCUAUUAAGUCAGUGCUGAAAUAUCCCGGCUUAACCGGGAGGGUGGCAUUGAUACUGAUGGACUUGAGUAAAGUUGAGGUAGGCGGAAUUGACGGUGUAGCGGUGAAAUGCUUAGAUAUCGUCAAGAACACCGAUAGUGUAGACAGCUUACUAGCUUAACUGACGCUGAGGCACGAAAGUGUGGGGAUCAAACAGG